CCCUUAAGAUGACGAAGUUGUUGAGUGUUCACCAGAUUGCCUUGAUUCAAGUUUAGAGACAGUACACCGAAGUGGGUCUGUAGCCAGUGGUAGAGCGCACCCCUAUAAGGGUGAGGUCGGUGGUUCGAGUCCACUCAGACCACCACUUGGUCCCGAUUAUGGGGCUAUAGCUCAGCUGGGAGAGCGCCUGCUUUGCACGCAGGAGGUCUGCGGUUCGAUCCCGCAUAGCUCCACCAUAAUCGAUACUGAAUUUUGCGAGAAGCAAAAGCCAUGCGUUGAACGAUAUUCAAUCUAUGUCUUUGACUUCUUUAUGAAGUUUGCUCUUUAACAAUCUGGAAAGCUGAUUUAAAAAGUAGUUCUCAAACAUUUGUUACAAGUGCUUUGGAAACUUCUUGGCGAAAACCAAAUUUUAUUUGGUCCUUGUUGUACAGCAACAAGCUGUGCCGGUUUCACCGACACUUCUUGGG
rnacentral:misc_RNA from 1 species